UGAGAGCUGCGGCGCCGCUUGACGUGCCCUGCCGCGGGGUGGUGCUCUGACUGCGGCAGCCGUUGAAGGGCUGCCCCGGAAGGCAGCGAGGCGCCACCGGUCUAUUAAACAGCUUUUCACAUUUGUUCUACACAAGAGGAAUGACUGUGACAGUACCAUCUUCCUGAACUAGACCAUCUUCCUGAAUCAGACCUGGGAGUGGGAACUUGUGUACAGAACACCUAAACUUGGCAAGGAUGCUGCAGAUUUUGAAGGAGAAUGGCUUUAUCCCCUCCCAGCCCUGAUGAUAUUAUGAGAGGUGGAGUUAGUUGUGUGUGUGUGUGAUUCAGUGUGCCCUCUUUGCUUUGAGUUUACAACUAAUUAUCAACAAAUAAUUAUUGAGAUUUUGCUAUGUUGAAGGCAUUUUGAAGGAAAUUAUGG